UACGGAGGAUGCAAGCGUUAUCCGGAAUGAUUGGGCGUAAAGCGUCCGCAGGUGGCUGUGUAAGUCUGCUGUUAAAGAGUGAGGCUCAACCUCAUAAAGGCAGUGGAAACUACAUGGCUAGAGUGCGUUCGGGGCAGAGGGAAUUCCUGGUGUAGCGGUGAAAUGCGUAGAGAUCAGGAAGAACACCCGUGGCGCAAGCGGCCACCUGGCAGAGACCUGACGCUGAGGCACGAAAGCGUGGGGAGCGAACCGG
rnacentral:rRNA from 1 species